rnacentral:rRNA from 1 species
ACGGCUACCUUGUUACGACUUCACCCCAGUCAUGAAUCACUCCGUGGUAACCGUCCCCCUUGCGGUUAGACUAGCUACUUCUGGAGCAACCCACUCCCAUGGUGUGACGGGCGGUGUGUACAAGGCCCGGGAACGUAUUCACCGUGACAUUCUGAUUCACGAUUACUAGCGAUUCCGACUUCACGCAGUCGAGUUGCAGACUGCGAUCCGGACUACGAUCGGUUUUAUGGGAUUAGCUCCACCUCGCGGCUUGGCAACCCUUUGUACCGACCAUUGUAGCACGUGUGUAGCCCUGGCCGUAAGGGCCAUGAUGACUUGACGUCAUCCCCACCUUCCUCCGGAUUGUCACCGGCAG